GUUACUACGUACUUAUUGACGCUGAUGAACGAAAGCGUGGGUAGCGAACAGGAUUAGAUACCCUGGUAGUCCACGCCGUAAACGAUGGAUACUAGCUGUUCGGACUUCGGUUUGAGUGGCUAAGCGAAAGUGAUAAGUAUCCCACCUGGGGAGUACGUUCGCAAGAAUGAAACUCAAAGGAAUUGACGGGGGCCCGCACAAGCGGUGGAGCAUGUGGUUUAAUUCGAUGAUACGCGAGGAACCUUACCAGGGCUUAAAUGUAGAUUGACAGGUUUGGAAACAGACUUUUCUUCGGACAAUUUACAAGGUGCUGCAUGGUUGUCGUCAGCUCGUGCCGUGAGGUGUCAGGUUAAGUCCUAUAACGAGCGCAACCCCUAUUGUUAGUUACCAGCGCGUUAAGGCGGGGACUCUAGCAAGACUGCCGGUGCAAACCGUGAGGAAGGUGGGGAUGACGUCAAAUCAUCACGGCCCUUACGUCCUGGGCUACACACGUGCUACAAUGGCAAGUACAGAAAGCAGCUACCUGGCAACAGGAUGCGAAUCUCCAAAGCUUGUCUCAGUUCGGAUUGGAGUCUGCAACUCGACUCUAUGAAGCUGGAAUCGCUAGUAAUCGGAUAUCAGCCAUGAUCCGGUGAAUACGUUCCCGGGCCUUGUACACACCGCCCGUCAAGCCAUGGAAGCUGGGGGUACCUGAAGUCGGUGACCGCAAGGAGCUGCCUAGGGUAAAACUAGUGACUGGGGCUAAGUCGAACAAGUAAG
rnacentral:rRNA from 1 species